rnacentral:tRNA from 1 species
AGCCUUGUAGUGUAUGCCACGUCGGAUUGCAAAUCCGAAAAAGCAGACUAAUAAUCUGCCGGGGCUU